UAAGGUGUCAUCAAAUGAUUGUCCCCCAUCCCCAGGUGCUGAUACAGUUUGACAACAAAGAGCAGUUCGCUUUCCCCCAUUAUGGACACAGGAAAAAAAAAAUAACUAAAACAUUUGUCCCACACACCUCCUUCCAUAUAUCUACGACCCCUCCCUGCCAAUUGGAGGAUCAUAUGAGCAUGCAUCCCUUUCAACUAUGUAAAUAAUAUCGAAAAGAAAAUUUAAAAAUAAAGAAAGGCUAUUGAAUGGUUCAAUAAACCCUUAAGAUAGAGAGGUGUUCUCGGAAGCUCUGUGGCCAGGAACACCACACAACACUUGGAACACUGCUGGGAAUCCCUGUGCCUGUGGCUGCAAUGGCGAGAGCUGAUCCGAUCCGAAGCCAGGAGCCAGGAGCUUCUUCUAGUUUUCCCAUGCUGGUCUCUGUUAAAAUGAAAAUGGAAAACCUAAACCGGCAAGAACUUACCAGCCAAUGGCCAUGCUGCCGAGAUGAAGUGAGAUGAGUCUUUGCUUGGUGGACGGUUGGCAUUUCAGCAGUCGGCAAGAGGUCCUGACCUGUGUGGAGACAUGUCAAGAGUAAGCAGAGCCAGAGGACACGUGUGGAGUCACGUGCGUGGAGGUCCAUCGAGGGUGAAGCCAAGGAAGACAAAUCUAUCACCAGAUGACAGAGACAUCGAUGAUAGCAAGGGGCAAGGUGGUGAGGGUGGAUCCAGAAGGUACCAUGGAUAGAUUCAAGAAACAACACAGGAGCAGGCAAAGAGGAGUUUGGAUUUUGGGUGAAUAAGGCUGAGUGUCUCAGAUCUCCCUGUGCCUGUGUGGCGGCUGUGUGGCUGAUGAGUGUCUUGGCUGGAUAUGGAGAAGGCCUUGUAAGCAGUUAAGUCACCACUUAGGACACACGCAUCUCAAGUCCUGAUCCUUUUCUUUCUGACCCAGCUUCCUGUUAACCCACAUCCUGUGAGGCAGUGGGGGAUGGCUCAAAUAAUUGGGUUCCUGCCACUUGCUCUGGAAGAUCUGGACUGAGUUCUGGACUUCUGGUUUUGGUCUGGCCCUGCCAAGGCUAGUAUAAAAAUUUGGGGAGUGAAUGGAAGAUCCUUUUCUGUUUCACAGUCUCUGUCUGCCUUUCAAAAAAUAAA